rnacentral:rRNA from 1 species
GACGAACGCUGGCGGCGUGCCUAAUACAUGCAAGUCGAGCGGACUGAAUGGGAGCUUGCUCUUGUUCGGUCAGCGGCGGACGGGUGAGUAACACGUGGGCAACCUGCCCGCAAGACCGGGAUAACUCCGGGAAACCGGAGCUAAUACCGGAUAACACCGAAGACCGCAUGGUCUUUGGUUGAAAGGCGGCGCAAGCUGCCACUUGCGGAUGGGCCCGCGGCGCAUUAGCUAGUUGGUGAGGUAACGGCUCACCAAGGCGACGAUGCGUAGCCGGCCUGAGAGGGUGACGGCCACACUGGGACUGAGACACGGCCCAGACUCCUACGGGAGGCAGCAGUAGGGAAUCUUCCGCAAUGGGCGAAAGCCUGACGGAGCGACGCCGCGUGAGCGAAGAAGGCCUUCGGGUCGUAAAGCUCUGUUGUGAGGGACGAAGGAGCGCCGUUUGAAGAAGGCGGCGCGGUGACGGUACCUCACGAGGAAGCCCCGGCUAACUACGUG